rnacentral:rRNA from 1 species
GACGAACGCUGGCGGCGUGCUUAACACAUGCAAGUCGAACGGAAAGGCCCUGCUUUUGUGGGGUGCUCGAGUGGCGAACGGGUGAGUAACACGUGAGUAACCUGCCCUUGACUUUGGGAUAACUUCAGGAAACUGGGGCUAAUACCGGAUAGGAGCUCCUGCUGCAUGGUGGGGGUUGGAAAGUUUCGGCGGUUGGGGAUGGACUCGCGGCUUAUCAGCUUGUUGGUGGGGUAGUGGCUUACCAAGGCUUUGACGGGUAGCCUGCCUGAGAGGGUGACCGGCCACAUUGGGACUGAGAUACGGACCAGACUCCUACGGGCGGCAGCAGUGGGGAAUAUUGCACAAUGGGCGGAAGCCUGAUGCAGCAACGCCGCGUGCGGGAUGACGGCCUUCGGGUUGUAAACCGCUUUCGCCUGUGACGAAGCGUGAGUGACGGUAAUGGGUAAAGAAGCACCGGCUAACUACGUG